UUUGAAAUAUGAUCUGCAUCUAGCUUAAUAAAUCAUUCUCUCAUUUAUAUCUAGAUCAGAUUCACUAUUGAUUUCUUCAAGAGUAUGGUUUCUUGAAGAAAUUGGUUAUUCUCCUUUGAAUCCAAAUUUUGGUUUCUGUUUGAGUUGAGCUUGCAAGCUGGUGCCAUGGGAUGAAUGAGCUGAAGAAGAAGCUGCCAUUGCCAUGAAGAACUGGGUUUCAAGUUGUACUAAGUUGGAGAAGAAGAUUGCACAAAGGAGGUAUUGCUCAUCUUCCUAAAUAGAUCUAGGUUUUGCUUGAGCUUGCUUGUAUUCCUUUGUAAGAAUCUUUUUCUACUUAGUGGAUUGCCUGGUCGGUUGAUGACCCCCAGUUUUUCCCAAUGGUGGGUUUCUGGGUGAACAAUUUCUGAUUGCAUUCUUGUAAUUUUCUCGGUUUGUGUUCUUGGUGGUUGACUAGUCAUCGUAUGAAUUGUGGUUGACUAGUCAUCAUUAUCUGAUGUUUGGUGUUUGCUUGAUUAUGCUGUCUUCACACACUUUCACCAUAGUUGUUGCUAGCACAGGGGAUGCCUAGAUUGAUGGGUCCUUCUGAGUGCCUAGGUUGUCACUAGUAAUUCUCUAGGCCUGCAGGUACAUCAUGAUAUGUUCUGUGUGUGUGUGAAGUUUGUUGCAUCCUUUGGCUGAAUAUUUCAUUAAGUUUACCCAUCGUCACCUAAGUACCGAUUACAAGUAUAUAUAUAAAAGACUAUAGCCACUCGUCUGUACUAUUUAUUGAAGACAAUUUUUUAUGGAAUAAAACAGUACUGCCGCUCGGCUAUACUAUUUUGUUAAAAACAUUUUAAAAAUCGAGUAUAGCCGAAAGGAUAUACGAUUUAAUAUAUUAAAAAAAAAAAG
rnacentral:lncRNA from 1 species